GACAGAGGCCCCAAGCGUUAGGCGGAAUCACUGGGCUUAAAGCGUGUGUAGGCGGAUCGUUAAGUGUCUUGUGAAAUCCCACGGCUCACCCGUGGAACUGCUGGGCAUACUGGCGAUCUUGGGCCAACUAGGGGCAGUCGGAACAAGCGGUGGAGCGGUGAAAUGCGUAGAUAUCGCUUGGAACGCCAAUGGUGAAGACAGCUCGCUGGGGGGUGUCCUGACGCUGAGGCGCGAAAGCCAGGGGGAGCGAAACGGGG
rnacentral:rRNA from 1 species